UACGUAGGGUGCGAGCGUUAAUCGGAAUUACUGGGCGUAAAGCGUGCGCAGGCGGUUCGUUGUGUCCGUCGUGAAAGCCCCGGGCUUAACCUGGGAACUGCGAUGGAAACUAGCGAGCUGGAGUGUGGCAGAGGGGGGUGGAAUUCCGCGUGUAGCAGUGAAAUGCGUAGAGAUGCGGAGGAACACCGAUGGCGAAGGCGGCUCACUGGCCCGGUACUGACGCUCAUGUGCGAAAGCGUGGGGAGCAAACAGG
rnacentral:rRNA from 1 species